AUUGAACGCUGGCGGCAGGCCUAACACAUGCAAGUCGAACGAGUGGCGGACGGGUGAGUAAUGUCUGGGAAACUGCCUGAUGGAGGGGGAUAACUACUGGAAACGGUAGCUAAUACCGCAUACCAUCGGAUGUGCCCAGAUGGGAUUAGCUAGUAGGUGGGGUAAAGGCUCACCUAGGCGAAGAUCCCUAGCUGGUCUGAGAGGAAGAGGGGAAAAUGUGGAACUGAGACACGGUCCAGACGGAUGGGGGGGGGGGGGGGGGGGGGUAUUGCGGGAGGGGCGCAAGCCUGAUGCGUCCAUGCCGCGUGUAUGAAGAGUGGCUUCGGGUGGGGAAGUACUUUCAGCGGGGAGGCGUUACCCACAGAAGAAGCACCGGCUAACUCCGUGCCAGCAGCCGCGGUAAUAC
rnacentral:rRNA from 1 species